rnacentral:tRNA from 1 species
GGAUUGUGGCUUGGUGGUAGAGCACACACCUACCACGUGCAAGGCCCUGGGUUCAAUCCUCAGCAUCA